GAUCCGCAAUCUGCAAGGAAAACAACACCACACCAUAGAAGAGUGAUUACAAUGCAAACACAUGGUAGAACAACACAUGCACUGGUAAGGUCUACCACUUGAUAAGGACGGCCUCAAGGUCCCAAUGACCACAGUACUGCUCCAAACAGAAUGCAACAAAUGCUGCAUGAAUGCCAACAGCCAGCCAAGACAUUUAUCAAACACCUCAAAAUGCUACUGACCAUAUUUGCUCCUAGUUGUUAUCUAUGACAUAUUCCAUUUAACUAUGUUUAACAUUCAUUACCCACUACAGUCAAUUUCUAUUUUUUUUUUUUUUUUACAGAAUCUUCUCUAUAGUUAGACCCAGAAAGUUGCUUUACAUGGCCAUUGAUGGAGUGGCUCCAAGGGCAAAAAUGAACCAGCAAAGAUCUCAUCGUUUCAGAGCAUCUAAAGAAACCAAGGAGCUCUUUUACCACCAGA